ensembl:lncRNA
GAAAAUGUAUCAGCUUAUUAUUAAAUAAUUAUGACGUUCUUUCCAAUACAAAAAGUGUAGUAACUAUUGUUUCCAAACUGCGUUACCCACUCCAGCCAGCAGCUGGCGAUGUACGUCUUUCAGGAGAUGCUUCUUGUGUGACGUAUAAUGGACUGGACGGGACGCUUCUUCAGGAACAACAACGUGGCUACUCUAUCAACCACCUCGGUGGCUUGCUAGCCAACAAAAAAGUGAAAGAUUAACGCUUUAGACCAUCUUAAUGUACAUGAUCUAAUAUCAGUGUUUUAAACACAGUUCUGUUGACGUAUUAACUGGUUAACUGUAACCUAAUUUGCAAACUUGUUAAAGAUUGAUGCUGAGCCUAGCACUAGGCUAGUCGCUAAUGCUAACUAGCUAGCUAACAUCCCUGACCAUGAGUUCAUUAAAGUACUCAUCCCCUGCUAUAGAAGAGGAGGUCUGCUGUUUGGAGAAAGAAGUUCUGGCGCUGAACAUUGAAGAAGAGGAGGAUGUUACAGUGAAAGAGAAAGAACCUUUUAGAAUGAAAAAGGAGGAAGAGGAGACUGUUAUAGUGAAGGAAGAAGAUGCUGUUAUAGUGAAAGAACAUUUCAGAAUGAAAAAGGAGGAAGAGGAGACUGUUAUAAUGAAGGAAGAAGAUGCUGUUAUAGUGAAAGAACAUUUCAGAAUGAAAAAGGAGGAAGAGGAGACUGUUAUAGUGAAGGAAGAAGAUGCUGUUAUAGUGAAAGAACAUUUCAGAAUGAAAAGGGAGGAAGAGGAGGCUGUUAUAGUGAAAGAAGAGAAAGAACCGUUUAGAGAGGAAGAGGAUGCUAUCUCAAUAAAGGUGAAGGAGGAAGACGUUUUGGGAGUGAAAGAGGAGACAGAAUAUCAGAUUAACACCAGAGAGAGACAUGACUAUGGUGGAUCCUCUGGGGAGCUUCAACAACAUCCUGAUGCUGACGAGGCAGAGAAGAGUCUCUCCAGAUCAGAACACCAGAUGGACAACACUAGCCCUUCCUCCCUCCCGGAGUCCCUGUAUCGUGCCUCUCCUGGUAGCACCUUACUGCUGGGUAUGAAGAGGUUGUCUGUGCUGCUGGUGGACUGCAGGAAAACAACGGGGCUGAGUGGAACUGUGAGAGGAGGAGAAGAGAAGAAAGGAUCAGAUUUGACACACCAAAGAGAGAGACAUGACUAUGGUGGAUCCUCUGGGGAGCUUCAACAACAUCCUGAUGCUGACGAGGCAGAGAAGAGUCUCUCCAGAUCAGAACACCAGAUGGUACAGCUUGGUCUGGACAAGCAAACAGCUUUCUCUUGCUUGGGGGCUGGGUUUCUGUAAACCACUUUAUGACAACAGUGACAUCAGCAUCCAUAUGAUGUGCGUCUGUGUCCCCUCUUUAUGGUUACCAGGACAACACUAGCCCUUCCUCCCAUCCCGGAGUCCCUGUAUCGUGCCUCUCCUGGUAGCACCUUACUGCUGGGGUAUGAAGAGGUUGUCUGUGCUGCUGGUGGACUGCAGGAAAACAACGGGGCUGAGUGGAACUGUGAGAGGAGGAGAAGAGAAGAAAGGAUCAGAUUUGACACACCAAAGUAAGUGCUGUAGUUUAUUUGGAACAAAUACAAUAGAUCUGCCCACUGGUAUCUG